rnacentral:misc_RNA from 1 species
GGAAGGAUCAUUAUUGAAUGAAAUAUAGAGUUGGUUGUUGCUGGCUUUAGGGCAUGUGCACACCUUCUCUUUUCAUCCACACACACCUGUGAACUUGUGAGGCAGGGGAAGUGAGAGAAGGCCUUCAUUGGUCUGAUUUUUUUUUUCCCUGCCUACUUAAUUACACAAACUCAUUUUUUUUUAAACUGAAUGUAAUUGAUGUAACGCAUCAUUUAAUACUAAGUUUCAACAACGGAUCUCUUGGCUCUCGCAUCGAUGAAGAACGCAGCGAAAUGCGAUAAGUAAUGUGAAUUGCAGAAUUCAGUGAAUCAUCGAAUCUUUGAACGCACCUUGCGCUCCUUGGUAUUCCUUGGAGCAUGCCUGUUUGAGUAUCAUGAAAUUCUCAAAGUCAAUCUUUUGUUAAUUCAAUUGAUUGUGCUUUGGACUUGGAGGUCUUUGCGGAUUAAUAAUCUGCUCCUCUUAAAUUCAUUAGCUGGAUCUCAGUAUAUGCUUGGUUCCACUCGGCGUGAUAAGUUAUCACUCGCUGAGGACACUGUAAAAGGUGGCCAGGAAAUACAGAUGAACCGCUUCUAAUAGUCUAUUAAAUUAGACAAUUAAAUUUUAAGAUCUGAUCUCAAAUCAGGUAGGACUACCCGCUGAACUUAAGCAUAUCAAUAAGCGGAGGAAAAGAAACUAACAAGGAUUCCCCUAGUAACGGCGAGUGAAGCGGGAAAAGCUCAAAUUUAAAAUCUGGCAGUGAAUUCUGUCCGAGUUGUAGUCUAGAGAAGCAUCAUCCGUGCUGGACCAUGUAUAAGUCUCUUGGAACAGAGCGUCAUAGAGGGUGAGAAUCCCGUCUUUAACAUGGACUCCCAGUACUUUGUGUUGUGCUCUCAACGAGUCGAGUUGUUUGGGAAUGCAGCUCAAAAUGGGUGGUAAAUUCCAUCUAAAGCUAAAUAUUGGCGAGAGACCGAUAGCGAACAAGUACCGUGAGGGAAAGAUGAAAAGCACUUUGGAGAGAGAGUUAAACAGUACGUGAAAUUGUUGAAAUGGAAACGCUUGAAGUCAGUCGCGUUCUCUGGGAUUCAGCCUUGCUUUUGCUUGGUGCAUUUCCUAGUCUACGGGCCAACAUGAAUUUUGACCGGUGGAAAAGGAUUUGGGGAAUGUGGCACCUUUUUGGUGUGUUAUAGCCCCUUGUCGCACACACCGGUUGGGAUUGAGGACUCAUAGUGCACGCUUUCAGUUGUGCUUUGAUGUUGGCGUAAUGGCUUUAAACGACCCGUCUUGAAACACGGACCAAGGAGUCUAACAUGUCUGCGAGUAUUUGGGUGAUAAACCCGAGUGCAAAAUGAAAGUGAUAGUUGGGAACCUCUCACGAGGGGCACCGACGCCCGGACCAGACCUUCUGUGACGGAUCCGAGGUAGAGCAUAUAUGUUGGGACCCGAAAGAUGGUGAACUAUGCCUGCAUAGGGUGAAGCCAGAGGAAACUCUGGUGGAGGCUCGUAGCGAUUCUGACGUGCAAAUCGAUCGUCAAAUGUGGGUAUAGGGGCGAAAGACUAAUCGAACCAUCUAGUAGCUGGUUCCUGC